CGUGCUACAAUGGGUAGUACAGAGGGUUGCCAAGCCGUAAGGUGGAGCUAAUCCCUUAAAGCUACUCUCAGUUCGGAUUGUAGGCUGAAACUCGCCUACAUGAAGCUGGAGUUACUAGUAAUCGCAGAUCAGAAUGCUGCGGUGAAUGCGUUCCCGGGUCUUGUACACACCGCCCGUCACCCCACGGAAGUUGGAGACGCCCGAAGCCGAUUAUCUAACCUUUUGGAAGAAGUCGUCGAAG
rnacentral:rRNA from 1 species